UUUCUUAACUUUACAUAGCUAGCUCAAGCAGUGGAAUUAAUUUAUGAAAGAUUAGAUACAAUGAACAUUGAUUGUAUAAAUAGAUUUUCUAGUUGGUUUGCUUAUCAUUUAAAUAAUUUUCAGUUUUGUUGGAAUUUGGAUGACUGGAAUGACUGUAUUAGUAUGGACCCUUUACUUCCAAAACCUGUGUUUGUUAGAGAAACCCUGCAUAAAUCUUUAAGUCAAUUUGUGUUCAAAUCCUGAGGAUAAACUGCAGAUUUAUCGAGAGAACUUUGAACAAGCAUACAUUGAUGCGACUGAGGCGUUUUAUCGUGAAAAAGCACCUGAAUAUUUGGAAUCAAACAGUGUACAGAAUUACAUGAGGUAUGCAGACCAAAAGCUGAA
rnacentral:lncRNA from 1 species